ensembl:lncRNA
GCCAUCUUGGCCUUCACAGAAGAUAACCCUAUGGGGUGGCUCAGUUUGAACCAGGAAACCAUGCAUGAGUAACAAACUUCGCAAGUCUCAUGCUGGUGAUAGGAAGAGAAUAUCUGCAAGGAAUGGAUCGAAUGCCUGGCAACUCAUUCCCAGGCCAGAAGCAAGCGGAGGGAGAAUUUUGCUGGUGAUCUGAAGGGUGUGAAGAGGUUGUGGGAAAGGAAAUCCGUGCCAAGGAAAAGAGGAUAUUCUUUGUCCAGCAAUGGGGCUCACUAUAACCUUGCAGCCGUGGACAGAGGAGAGUAUUCUCUGUCUAAAAUAGGGCUCACUAUGGCCUUGUGCCCAUGGAUGGAGGUUAGGAUAAGAGGCCUCAUUUUCAGAUCACCAUCAC